rnacentral:misc_RNA from 1 species
GAAAUGCGAUAAGUAAUGUGAAUUGCAGAAUUCAGUGAAUCAUCGAGUCUUUGAACGCACAUUGCGCCCCCUGGCAUUCCGGGGGGCAUGUCUGUCCGAGCGUCAUUGCUGCCCUUCAAGCCCGGCUUGUGUGUUGGGUCGUCGUCCCCUCCGGGGGACGGGCCCGAAAGGCAGCGGCGGCACCGCGUCCGGUCCUCGAGCGUAUGGGGCUUUGUCACCCGCUCGAUAAGGACCGGCCGGGCGCCAGCCGGCGUCUCCAACCUUUUUUUCUCAGGUUGACCUCGGAUCAGGUAGGGAUACCCGCUGAACUUAAGC